CUGACGAGUGGCGGACGGGUGAGUAAUGUCUGGGAAACUGCCUGAUGGAGGGGGAUAACUACUGGAAACGGUAGCUAAUACCGCAUAACGUCGCAAGACCAAAGAGGGGGACCUUCGGGCCUCUUGCCAUCGGAUGUGCCCAGAUGGGAUUAGCUUGUUGGUGGGGUAACGGCUCACCAAGGCGACGAUCCCUAGCUGGUCUGAGAGGAUGACCAGCCACACUGGAACUGAGACACGGUCCAGACUCCUACGGGAGGCAGCAGUGGGGAAUAUUGCACAAUGGGCGCAAGCCUGAUGCAGCCAUGCCGCGUGUAUGAAGAAGGCCUUCGGGUUGUAAAGUACUUUCAGCGGGGAGGAAGGGAGUAAAGUUAAUACCUUUGCUCAUUGACGUUACCCGCAGAAGAAGCACCGGCUAACUCCGUGCCAGCAGCCGCGGUAAUACGGAGGGUGCAAGCGUAAUCGGAAUUACUGGGCGUAAAGCGCACGCAGGCGGUUUGUUAAGUC
rnacentral:rRNA from 1 species